GCCCUAGUAGCUCAGCCUGGCAGAGCGAAGGUUUCGUACACCUUAGGUCAUGGGUCCAAAUCCCAUCUAGGGCU
rnacentral:tRNA from 1 species